GAGGGUAUAGCUCAGUGAUACAGUGUAUGCUUAACAUGCAGGCGGUCCUAGGUUCAAUCCCCAGUAUCCCCA
rnacentral:tRNA from 1 species